rfam:Gossypium raimondii Chr10_contig_1261, whole genome shotgun sequence.
UAUUAAAAUUCCAUUUAUUUGUACUGUUAAAAACUAGCGUAGCUAACGGAAUAACCAAAAAGUGACAUGACAUGCCACAUGUACCUUAAGCCUAUGUACAAUUAUCUAUUUUUAAUAGUAUAUCUAGAUGAAUUUUUUUACA